AUAAGCGGAGGAAAAGAAACCAACAGGGAUUGCCCUAGUAACGGCGAGUGAAGCGGCAACAGCUCAAAUUUGAAAUCUGGCGCAAGCCCGAGUUGUAAUUUGUAGAGGAUGCUUCUAGGUAGCGACCGGUCUAAGUUCCUUGGAACAGGACGUCAUAGAGGGUGAGAAUCCCGUAUGUGACUGGCCCGCACCUUCUACGUAGCUCCUUCGACGAGUCGAGUUGUUUGGGAAUGCAGCUCUAAAUGGGAGGUAAAUUUCUUCUAAAGCUAAAUACCGGCCAGAGACCGAUAGCGCACAAGUAGAGUGAUCGAAAGAUGAAAAGCACUUUGGAAAGAGAGUUAAAAAGCACGUGAAAUUGUUGAAAGGGAAGCGCUCACAACCAGACUUCUGGGCGGUGUUCCGCCGGUCUUCUGACCGGUCUACUCACCGUCCCGAGGCCAACAUCAUCUGGGACCGCCGGAUAAGACCUCAGGAAUGUAGCUCCCCUCGGGGAGUGUUAUAGCCUGUGGUGAUGCGGCGCGUCUCGGGUGAGGUCCGCGCUUCGGCAAGGAUGUUGGCGUAAUGGUUGUCAGCGGCCCGUCUUGAAACACGGACCAAGGAGUCUAACAUCUAUGCGAGUGUUCGGGUGUCAAACCCCUACGCGUAAUGAAAGUGAACGGAGGUGGGAAGGGUAACCUGCACCAUCGACCGAUCCUGAUGUCCUCGGAUGGAUUUGAGUAAGAGCAUAGCUGUUGGGACCCGAAAGAUGGUGAACUAUGCCUGAAUAGGGUGAAGCCAGAGGAAACUCUGGUGGAGGCUCGCAGCGGUUCUGACGUGCAAAUCGAUCGUCAAAUUUGGGUAUAGGGGCGAAA
rnacentral:rRNA from 1 species